rnacentral:rRNA from 1 species
GUAGGGAAUAUUGCGCAAUGGGGGCAACCCUGACGCAGCGACGCCGCGUGAGUGAUGAAGGCCUUCGGGUCGUAAAGCUCUGUUGCAGGGGAAUAAUAAAGUGAAGGUACCCUGUGAGGAAGGAUCGGCUAACUUCGUGCCAGCAGCCGCGGUAAGACGAGGGAUCCUAGCGUUGCUCGGAAUCAUUGGGCGUAAAGCGGGUGUAGGGGGCUUUGUAAGUCAGAUGUGAAAGCCCAGGGCUUAACCCUGGAAGUGCAUUUGAUACUGCAGAGCUUGAGUGUUGGAGAGGUCAUCGGAAUACCUGGUGUAGUGGUGAAAUACGUAGAUAUCAGGUGGAACACCGGAGGCGAAGGCGGGUGACUGGCCAAACACUGACCCUGAGACCCGAAAGUGUGGGGAUCAAACAGGAUUAGAUACCCGUGUAGUCC